rnacentral:tRNA from 1 species
GGGCCGGUGGUUUAGGGGUAUAAUGCUGCGUUCGCAACGCAGAAGUCGGGGGUUCAAUUCCCUCCCGGUCCA